rnacentral:rRNA from 1 species
GACGUAGGGUGCAAGCGUUGUCCGGAUUUAUUGGGCGUAAAGAGCUCGUAGGCGGCUUGUUGCGUCGACUGUGAAAACCCCGCGGCUUAACCGCGGGCUUGCAGUUGAUACGGGCAGGCUAGAGUUCGGUAGGGGAGACUGGAAUUCCUGGUGUAGCGGUGAAAUGCGUAGAUAUCGGGAGGAACACCUGUGGCGAAGGCGGCCCCCUGGUUGGAUACUGACGCUGAUACGCGAAAGCGUGGGGAGCAAACAGG